UACAGAGGCGGCAAGCGUUGUUCGGAAUUAUUGGGCGUAAAGAGCACGUAGGCGGCUGUGUAAGUCGGUUGUGAAAGCCUUCCGCUUAACGGAAGAACGGCAUCCGAUACUGCAUAGCUCGAGUGCGGGAGGGGAGAGUGGAACUUCUGGUGGAGCGGUGAAAUGCGUAGAGAUGUGGAAGAACACCGAUGGCGAAGGCAGCUCCCUGGGUUGACACUGACGCUCAUGCACGAAAGCGUGGGGAGCAAAC
rnacentral:rRNA from 1 species